GCAAGCUGCUGGGGUGGUAGUGGACAUUAUGGUGGAAAGUGUUGAGAACACACAGGAAAAUGGACAGGGUGCUUCACAUCUUGACGACCUCCGAUCUGCUGUUAGGAAAUUGAGAAAAAUCAUUUCCACUUGGACCAUCCACAUUUUCAGCCAUGAAUUGGUGGAUAAAGUGAUAGCCCUUCAGGACAGCCACAGCACUCCACAGGUCUUAACAUUGGAAGCAGCCAAAAGUGCUUCAGACUCCAUUCUUUCAAGGCUGAAAUGGGGAAAGGAACAAUGUGCCAUAUCCAAGGAGCUCUCCUCUCAGCUUCUCCAGAUAUUUGCUGAAGAGACAGUGAAGGGCUUCCUGAGACAGUGGUCAGAUGAGUAUGAAAAUAUAAACUUUGAUGUUUCAGUCCAGAACGAUCCAAAGACUUCUACUUGCAUGGUCAUUCUUCAAAUGAUCACCAAAGCCACUGCUAAAUGUUAUUUUGAGUCCGCUACCAGCGUGGCCACCAGUGACAUUGUAGAAGGCGUGUUUGAUUUGGAAAGGGAUACCAUCAGCAGUACUGGAGAGCAGGUCCUCACCUUUAACACAAAGGGUUCCAAGAAAGUUAGUAAGAACCUCUGUCCUCAAGAGUCUCUGGAGUACCAGCCUCAGAACAUUUCCCCUACUGUGUACUUUACAGAGACGAUGACAACAUCUCAUGGCUCC